rnacentral:rRNA from 1 species
AUUGAACGCUGGCGGCAGGCCUAACACAUGCAAGUCGAGCGGAUGAAGGGAGCUUGCUCCUAGAUUCAGCGGCGGACGGGUGAGUAAUGCCUAGGAAUCUGCCUGGUAGUGGGGGAUAACGUCCGGUAACGGGCGCUAAUACCGCAUACGUCCUGAGGGAGAAAGUGGGGGAUCUUCGGACCUCACGCUAUCAGAUGAGCCUAGGUCGGAUUAGCUAGUUGGUGGGGUAAAGGCCUACCAAGGCGACGAUCCGUAACUGGUCUGAGAGGAUGAUCAGUCACACUGGAACUGAGACACGGUCCAGACUCCUACGGGAGGCAGCAGUGGGGAAUAUUGGACAAUGGGCGAAAGCCUGAUCCAGCCAUGCCGCGUGUGUGAAGAAGGUCUUCGGAUUGUAAAGCACUUUAAGUUGGGAGGAAGGGCAGUAAGUUAAUACCUUGCUGUUUUGACGUUACCAACAGAAUAAGCACCGGCUAACUUCGUG